UGGGGAAUAUUGCACAAUGGGCGCAAGCCUGAUGCAGCCAUGCCGCGUGUAUGAAGAAGGCCUUCGGGUUGUAAAGCACUUUCAGCGGGGAGGAAGGCGUUAAGGUUAAUAACCUUGGCGAUUGACGUUACCCGCAGAAGAAGCACCGGCUAACUCCGUGCCAGCAGCCGCGGUAAUACGGAGGGUGCAAGCGUUAAUCGGAAUUACUGGGCGUAAAGCGCACGCAGGCGGUCUGUCAAGUCGGAUGUGAAAUCCCCGGGCUCAACCUGGGAACUGCAUUCGAAACUGGCAGGCUAGAGUCUUGUAGAGGGGGGUAGAAGUCCAGGUGUAGCGGUGAAAUGCGUAGAGAUCUGGAGGAAUACCGGUGGCGGAGGCGGCCCCCUGGACAAAGACUGACGCUCAGGUGCGAAAGCGUGGGGAGCAAACAGG
rnacentral:rRNA from 1 species